UUUAAUGGUCUACAGUAUUCUACCUGGGGAGCCACAGAGAAGUAUCAUUUCUUUUUCUUUGGUCAGAUGUGUGGGUUUUAGCAUGGUAAAGGGAUGGAGAAAAUGUCGGUGUUGCAUUUAGUUUCUAGAUCUUCUAUUGAUUAUGAUUCAAUAUCUUAUAAAAUGUCUCCAACAAUCUGUAUCUGUAUAUGAAUCCUUAAAUUCAUUCAUAAUCUGUGAUGAAUCUCUAGCAUUGAUGUAUAUUAAUUUACAUGCAGACUAGUUGAAUUGUUACCCGAAUCUGCUUUUUGGGGAAAAAAUGCUUUAUCAACAUGGGUUGUGAAGUUUCGGUUUUGUGUAAUUAGUGGCUAAUUAGAUUGAAGAUUGUAACUUGAUUUUUGACUUUUGUUAAUUAAGUUCCACCUGGUUGUGCAGUAACACGAUCCACAUCCCUAUUGACUUCUGCUGCUGCUGCCAAGUACUGGUAGAAUGUGCAAUAAAGGUUUUGCUGCAGUGCUUAUUUGGAGUCCUCAAGGUCAGGAGGUUGGAGCACCGACGGCUCCCAUAUUGAUUUUGUGGACUGUUUUUUCGUGGUGUUGAUUGAAGAAAUCAAAAAACAGGGCAUGAUUUAAGCUUGAUGACCAAUUUUCAUUUCAUAAAUGUGGGAAGAGUUUAUGUACUAGGACAGAAGAGUAGGAAUCAGUCGAUUUGAAAG
rnacentral:lncRNA from 1 species